rnacentral:rRNA from 1 species
AAAUAGAUACCCCGGUAGUCCACGCCGUAAAACGAUGAGUGCUAGGUGUUAGGGGGGUUUCCGCCCCUUAGUGCUGCAGCUAACGCAUUAAGCACUCCGCCUGGGGAGUACGGUCGCAAGACUGAAACUCAAAGGAAUUGACGGGGGCCCGCACAAGCGGUGGAGCAUGUGGUUUAAUUCGAAGCAACGCGAAGAACCUUACCAGGUCUUGACAUCCCGCUGACCGCCAUGGAGACAUGGCCUUCCCUUCGGGGACAGCGGUGACAGGUGGUGCAUGGUUGUCGUCAGCUCGUGUCGUGAGAUGUUGGGUUAAGUCCCGCAACGAGCGCAACCCUUGUCCUUAGUUGCCAUCAUUCAGUUGGGCACUCUAAGGAGACUGCCGUACAAAUACGGAGGAAGGUGGGGAUGACGUCAAAUCAUCAUGCCCCUUAUGACCUGGGCUACACACGUGCUACAAUGGGUGGUACAAAGGGCAGCAAACCCGCGAGGGGGAGCGAAUCCCAAAAAGCCACUCUCAGUUCGGAUUGCAGGCUGC